CAGAGACUGAGUGCCCAGACAUUGCCCCUCCCCAUUGCCCCUCCCCGCUCAGGUCCUGCCCUCCAGGUUACUGCCUUCUCUGUGCAGCAGAAAUCUGUCUGCCCUCAACUAGGAGAAGGAAGGACUACAGAGAGCCCUGCGAGGCAGGAUGCUGGUAGAGUUCAGAGAGGCUGUUCCCUUCCUCCUGACUCCAGGUCAGUCCCUCUGUGUGUUACUAGGAAGAUGGGAUCCCUCCUAAAUUGGGGGAUUUACUAAGAAAGCUCAUGCACCUUUCCCAGUUGUACCUGACUCAGGUUUACUGCCCCAGUGGCACUUCUUAGGUUUUAUAGGGCUCUACAACAAACCCCUUGUUGACAAAGACAGGUUCCCAGAAGCCCUAGGGCAGAGUGCAGUGGGCUUGGUGCACAGCUACUUUUGUGAGGGCCCUGGGGUCCUCUGUUGGUACUCGCUAGAGCCUAGGUCCAUGGCCAUCCUUCAGACAUCUUUACCAUUAUAAAUUUCAUGGGUUGGUCCUGGGGAGGAGAUGUACCUUAAAAUGGCCCAGGUGCCUGUGGCCUAGGAAGUCAGCAGGGUUCUGGCCCUCAGGAUGGACUGUGCCUGCACAUGGAUUCAGGCUUGUCCUGCACCGCCCCCUCCUGGAGGAAAGCAGCAUCACCUCCCAGGUCCUGUUUCCUAAAUUUCAGGAUCUUCCUGGAGUCAGAGUGAAUGAAGUUUUUCCAGGCUUCUGAAAAUGGAGUUUGUUUUUCCUCUCUCUAACAACAACCAGAAAAUAACUUACUUUUUUUUUUUUUUUUUUUUUGCUUUUAUUUGCAUUUAUUUUAUGCAGAAUUUACUCCCAGGCCAUAAGUUUUGUUACUUCAGUUUCUUCUGGGGUACCUUUUUUUUCUGUGCAACUUCCUCUUCUGGUUUAGGAACAAUCUGUUUUUUGUUUUUGUUUUUCAGUAAGGAUCAUCUCAAUGUGGCAGGGAGAGCUCAUGUAUGGAUUAAUCUGACCACGAGCCCUGUAAGUUCUUUGCCACAUCUUGGGGGCUUUAUUCACCUGGAUGUGCUCAAUGACCAGAGAAUCUACAUCUAAACCCUUAAGUUCAGCAUUACUCUCUGCAUUUUUAAGCAUGUGCAGGGAAUGGAGGGGCACCCGUCGGAACUCAG